CUUGUCUAAUGUCAGUGUCAGUUUGUGUUUGUCGAAGAGGCUCUUUUGUUACAAUCCUUUCUAAUGAUGAGAGGGAAAAUAAUGAUCAGGUUGUCUACGAUGAAAUGUUUGAGACUCCUGAGGAGGGAGUUUCUACACUUGUGAGACGCCUUUCGGAUGCUGGAUUCACUCAAACAAGCAAUUUUGAAUUCGAGACAGAUGCCCCAGACGAUGAGAUUGUCUCUGCUCUCACUGAGGGCACUGAUUAAGUCUUCUUGUUUUGUUUCUAACUUGAUUUGGUUUCUAAAAUUUUUGGUUUUAUUA